rnacentral:rRNA from 1 species
CUGGAAACAGAGAAGUGCCUCGCAAGAGGAAUUCGGAGACAGGUGCUGCAUGGCUGUCGUCAGCUCGUGUCGUGAGAUGUUGGGUUAAGUCCCGCAACGAGCGCAACCCUUAUCUUUAGUUGCCAUCAUUAAGUUGGGCACUCUAAAGAGACUGCCGGUGUCAAACCGGAGGAAGGUGGGGAUGACGUCAAGUCCUCAUGGCCUUUAUGACCAGGGCUACACACGUACUACAAUGGCAGGUACAAAGGGCAGCCACUUAGCGAUAAGGCGCGAAUCCCGUAAAACCUGUCUCAGUCCGGAUUGGAGUCUGCAACUCGACUCCAUGAAGUUGGAAUCGCUAGUAAUCGCAGAUCAGCACGCUGCGGUGAAUACGUUCCCGGGCCUU